GCUCCGGGUGUGUCACGAUCCAGCCCUCCCCUGGGAGGUAGGAUUGGGGUGUCAGCCCCUCGUGUUAAAAUGACUGAAGAGUCUUCAGCAGGAAGAGGCUGAGGCUGUGAUCUGUGUCCCCCUGCAGUGGUGGGACCCACUCAACAAUGUCCCCACCUGAGACGUAUACAGAGCAAGAGUUUCAGGACACACACCGCCUGGGAGAGGAGGCUGUGCUGGGGGACCUGCGCUCCCAGAGUUUGUCAGAGCAAAAGAGAGCAUGACAGCUUUUCCACGCAGCCGAGGUGGAGCAGGCAUGGUCUCAUCAGAGAAGGCCGUCUGGAGGGAUGAACAGACAGAUAAUGCCCAAUGCCAGCAAGUGGAGGGGUAACAGCGGGCUGGAGAUGAGUGCAUUGUCUGUAUUAGUGAUCGACAGAGAAGAUGGAGGUCUCCGGUGAUGGGAACGUCAAACAAAACCCACAGAAAAGAGAGGAGAACAAGAGCUGGCUUUCAAUGCUCUCCAGGCCCUGAGAGGACAACCCAGAGCCGACAUGAGCACGGGGGUAAGGAAAACUUCUCUGCAGGGCGUUACCUCUUCCCCUUCCCUUGUGCUCUCCCUGGAGGGGUCAGAAAUCACAGCAAACAGGAUGGAGGAGGAGAUGGAGGCAAAGCACAGGUGAGGAGAAAACACAUCCCCUUCCUCUGCUGCCAGCUUCCUCCUGCAACGGGUCACCAGCAGGGCAGAAAAAGAAAACUUAAGGUUGAACCAGGUUCUACGUUUUAUCUGGUCCAUGGGGCUGGACUUUUACAUUAUUGAUUAGAGAAGCUUGUAUCACCCGAGUGACCAGAAACCUUGCCUGAAUUUUCAUCCAAGUGCAAGGAAUGAGGAAGCCUCCACAGUGGAGUUAAGGGACAGCGAGAAGCAAAGCACUGCUUCUUGACGGUAUGCCAUGGGUCUUACUUGUCCAAUGCAAUGGUUACAUAAAGCAGGCUGAGGGCUCUUUAAUCAACAGUAUCAUGAAUAUGGGAAAGGGCAAUGAAAAAGACCAAGGGCAUUGUAUAGGGGAAGGAGGGACGGCAAAUAAGAAGCGAUUUUUAAAAUUUCAGUAUGAAGGCAAAGGUUGAAAUGGAAAUUGCAUAGACACCACUAAAACCAUAAAUGAUAUGGGUAAGGUCAAUAAAAGUCUUUGACAGCCCCCAGCGUCAAAUACAGAGCACGAACUCAAGGUAAGAGAAAGAAAAAGCAAGACUACCUCCUCUAAGGGGAGAUGCUGUUUCUCAAGAAAUGGUAUGGAUUCAAAUACCUGGAAGUGGAAAUUUUUAAACCUAAAUUCACUUGAAUGUGGAAAAUAAGCCUAUCUGAUGCAGCACUUUAGGGAGAGGGAAGAAUCUACGAUUAUAUCAACAGGAUGAAAAGUCUUGAAAUGCAGCUAGACAUACCCAUAACUCUACUGAUAUUUGAUGAAUUUCAAUAAUUCACUUAAAUUUUCUCAACUAUAUCCCACACAACACUUCUAAGCAGCAGGUGACAGCUAUUGUUACAACCAUGCCAAGGAGCUUAAUGGUAACUUGCAAGGUCAAUACCUACCAUGUUGCUAUGGAGAUGUACUUUGUGAAUAAAUAAAACAUCACUAAUGGAAUGUCCCUAACAUUGUUUCUCCAGCUAAUGUAACCAGGUGCUGUUCCACCUCAUCUGAACAGGCUAUUCAAGACUUUGAAAGGUUUUCGAUCACUGGUCCUCCACUGGAGUGUUCCCUGGCUCAUCCUGCCCCAAGGCCUUGGCAAUGCUGUUCCAUCUGCCCACAACACUCUUCCCCUCCCUUGUCAUAUCAAUCAGGCCUCUGCUCAAAUGUCACCUGCUCAGAGAGACCUACCCCUUUGGGGCCCUAUUUAAAAUUACUCCCUUUACCCAUCAAUACUGAAAAUGAUAACAUUUGCAUGGGAGAGGGGAGUUGAAGAUUUUUUUAAAUUUAAUUUUAUUGGCAUAUAGUUGAUUUAUUGCAGUAUAGUUACAACAUUGUAUUAUUUUCAGGUGUACAGCAAAGUGAAUCAGUCAUACAUACACAAACAUCCACUUUUUUUUUUUCCCAUUUAGGCUAUUACAAACUAUUGGGCAGAUUUUCCCGUGCUAUACAGUCAGUUCUUGUUAGUCAUCUAUUUUAUACAAUCGUGUGUAUAUGUUAUUCCAGCCCUCCCAAUUCUUCCCUCCCUGCAACGGAGUGUCACCUAUGGUAACCAUAAGAUUGGUGUUGAAAUCUGUGAAUUUUUGUAUCUGUUGUUUUUUUUUAAUAAGUUCUUUUAUAUCAUUAUUUAUUAGAUUCCACAGAUUUGCCUUUCUCUGUCUGAUUUACUUCACUCAGUAGGAGAAUCUCUAGGUCCAUCCAUGCUGCUGCAAAUGCCAUUAUAUAACAAUUAUUUUUUGCUUACUCAUCCUCUGUCUUCCUACUGGAAUACAAGGACACUAAGAGAAGUCAAAGACUUCACCACUGUAUCCUCAUGGCCUAGAAUAGUGCCUGGAACAUAAAGAGUUGUGGCUAAGACUGCUUGUUUCUCACUUAACAGCCUUGUUCCCCUUCUUCCUUGUUCCCUGUAUCAUCUGGCCAAGAAGUUGUACCCAACUAUAAAACUACAUCUGCAGGCUCUCUUGUCAGUGGAAGUGGUCAAAUGUGUGUAAGCAGAAGUCAUGGGAUGGAGCUUCUUGGAAAACACUUUGAAGGAGGCUUACUCUUUAAAGAGUAAGCCCUUGGCCCAUCCACCUUCCUACUGCUUGGAAUAGGAAUGUAAUGGCUGGAGCUGCAACAGCCAUGCUUGUGUUCAUGAGGUAAGCUUACUAGUAGGAACCACUCUAGAAGGGGGCCUGGGUGUUUGAUACCAAGACUGCCUUCCUCUGGAGAGAAAAAUCUCUACCUUAUUUCAGCUGCAUGAUUAGUGUCAUUUUUUAAUUGUAGCCAAAUCUAAUUCUGAUAUAUGGGUGCAUAGUAAAUAUUUGUUGGAUAAAUAUAUGUGUGCUUUGCUUUUAAAAUUUUAACUUUCGAAAACUUUGUAAAAACAUACCUUAUGACAUUCCCCACCCCAAAUCUCUAAUUAGGCAGUUCUCAAGUGGGGACAGGUUGAUCACAUCGAUCAUACUAGUUUACAACCACUGGGUAGAUGACCCUUCUGAUAGGGAUAGAGUAGGCACAGGUGGUUGUAGAAGUCCCAACAAGGGAUCACUGAUAAAGAAGGAAACCUGGGGGGUGUUGGGAGACCACUCUAAGUUCAGGAAAGCCAGCAGAACAAGGCAGGCUUGCUUAACUAGUGGAGGUGGGAGAACUGCCUCAGGUCACUGGGUGGGGGAUGGGAUGGGGCCUGCAUUCAGAUUCAUACCAGGGGGCAAGAAUUUGAAGACUGCCCUGCAGCUGAUUUGAAUACACACCUUAUGAGAUACUAAGGAGGGGCUGCUACUCCCAGAAAGGAAGAGGCGGGCCUUUCCAACCCCACGCCCCUUGGAUGAUAAAACUGUGGGCCACCAGAUCCUCGGGGAAAAGCUUCCUUUCCUGUCUGUUUGCCUCUCUUACAAGCAUCCUGUCCUCAUAAAUCUGUUUCUUGCCUAUCACUUUGUCUCUCGCUGAAUUCCUUCUGUUCAAGGGCAUAAAGAACCUGAGCCUUGGUGAAUCUGGACACAGGCAAUUUGCGUAGCUUACCUACAUCAGCAAAUUUUUAUCCAUAAGAGAAGAUCAAGGACUGAAUGGAAGGGGGUCUGUCUCUAAACGAUGGAUCUGGAACUUCUAAGAGGGAAACUGGAUGUGAUGGCUAGAGACCCAGCAUCCAUCUUGAACCUAGAGGAACAGAGAGUCACAUCCUAGGAAAGGAUGUGCUUUGGAAAGCUGGAAGAAAUCUCUAGUUCUCAAUAACAAUGGAGGUACCAUACCAGCUCUAGACUGUCCACCUUCAGACUUCCACCUGAGAAAGAAAAAAUUCCAUUUUAUUUAAGCUACAACUUUCCAAGUUUCUAUUUUUCAUAACUUAACCUAAUCCUAACUAAAAAUUUUAGAAUACAUAUACAUGCACCCACAUAACAUUGAAAUAGAUACAUAGUUGUGAAAUAUAUGUUCAGUGGUGGGUAUUAAUUGGCCACAGAAGAGAGGCAGAUUUCAGCAUUUCACUGGAAACCAACAAUUAUAGAUUUAAAUGUUGACAUUUGGCAGGAGUAAAAGCACUUCUUUUUGUGAUUGUGUUUAUGGGUGUUGUCUUUUCUGAAAAGUUGCAGUGUUUGCAUCUAAUAAAUUAAUGAAGUGAAACUUCUAUAUUAAAUUGAGAGAUUGUUUUCUGUUUUAAAACAGUUUUACAGAGCCGUAAGUUUCCAUUUGCAUUGGGUAUUCCAAGGGAAAAAUGUUUCAUCUGCAUUCUAGGCCUCCUUGCCUUCUUUCAUCAAAGCAGCGCCAUUGAAACACCAGGCCUGCAAUCCUAUCCUCUUGUUUCCUAAAGCACCAAAGCUGUGCCGAUUUGCAUAUUAGCUGGCAUAAAUUUGAAUAUUAAUUUAAAUAGGCCUUGCCUCUAAAUCUAUACAGCCUGGUGCCAUUAUACAAAUAACCAGUAUUGAGGGCAUAUAGGUACCUAAAAAUUUUAAACCCUCUCUGUUUAAUUACACUCAGAUUAUACUUAACACAUUUGCUCACGAAAACUCACUCACACAGUUGUCAGAUUAGAGGUUGUGAACUGUACAAUGAAUUUGUUCCCACAGCCAGAUGCACAAGUUUCCAUCCUGGAAAAACUGUUAAUCCAGUUUCAGGAAUGUCUGGGUCCGAAACACUUCCUUAGCCACAAAAGACUGAAAACCAAACUCAAGCUAAAUUGCCUUAAGCUAAAUUGUGAAUUUAUUGGCUCAUUCGACUCAGAAGCCCUAGGGGUUAUCUGACUUUGGGCUCAACCAGGCGGAGGGAUCCAAUGAUUUCUCUCUCCAUCUUUCUGCUUUGCCUGACUCCCCCGGUUGCAUACUCAGAUUCCCAGAUUCCCUCUACCUGUGGUAGCAAGAUACCCCUGCCUGGCCCAAGCUAAUAUUGUCUUGUGCCUUAUAAUCUCAGAAGAAUAAAGGUCCCCUCUCUCCAUAUCAGCUCCUAGUCCAGUUCCCAGCCUUCGUGGUGACAGCCUUGCCAUGUGCAGAUAGGGAGGAAAGUUCCCGAGGAAACAGUGGGAGCAGACAGA